rnacentral:sRNA from 1 species
GGCUAAACAGCUGGCAGCCCUGAAGCAGCAGCUGGUUGCUUCCCACCUGGAGAAGCUGCUGGGACCAGAUGCUGCAAUCAACCUUACCGACCCCGAUGGCGCCCUGGCUAAGUGGGUACCCUACUUUGUUGAAAAAUCAUUGCUGAUUGGGGUUGUGGAUGGACUCAGCCAGCUACUGACAGGGGUGCUAAGUGGCAGAGAAGUGGCUUAGAUGUUUCUUAAUGCUGAUUAUGAGGCAAAAGUGAGGGAGAGUGACUGGCCCUUCUCCUUCCAGUCAUGAUAUUAUUACUCGGUCUCCUAACUAGGCGCCUACUACUGCAGCUGGAAGCAACAAAGAACAGCAAAGGGGGAUCAGGGGGAAAAACCACUGGGACCCCCCCAGAUAGCAGCCUUGUCACUUAUGAACUACAUUCUCGGCCUGAGCAGGACAAGUUCUCUCAAGCUGCCAAAGUCGCAGAACUUGAAAAGCGCCUGACAGAGCUGGAGACAGCUGUACGUUGUGAUCAGGAUGCUCAGAAUCCCCUUUCUGCAGGUCUACAGGGAGCCUGUCUCAUGGAGACUGUAGAGCUGU